UCAGGUGUUAACGCCCGGCGAGCAUGUGCAAUUGCAGGAUGUUACCCGACGCUUCAAUUUUCAGGUACUGAUUCUUCUCUGUCAGCCCGCCCUGUUGCCGGAAGGCUCACUGAAAAGGGUUUAUAUAUUAUGUCUGAUAAAAUUCACGGAACGGUAAAGUGGUUUAAUGCAGAGAAAGGUCUCGGUUUCAUCACGCCUGAAAACGGCAGCAAGGACGUGUUUGUCCAUUUCUCUGCUAUUCAGGGCAAUGAUUACCGCUCGCUUGAUGAAGGUCAGCGCGUUGAAUUUAUUUUGGAAAACGGACAGAAAGGCCCGGCCGCAGCCAACAUAACGGGGCUUU
rnacentral:sRNA from 1 species